rnacentral:pre_miRNA from 1 species
AUCACUUGGGAAUUUUAUUAAAAUGCAGAUUAUGAUUCUAAAGAUUUGAGGUCAAACCUGAGAUUGUGCAUUUCUAACAAGCUCCCAGGUGAUGCUGA